CACGUAGGGCGCAAGCGUUUGUCCGGAAUUAUUGGGCGUAAAGAGCUCGUAGGCGGUCUGUUGCGUCCGCUGUGAAAACCCGGGGCUUAACCCUGGGCUGGCAGUGGAUACGGACAGACUAGAGGUAGGUAGGGGAGAAUGGAAUUCCCGGUGUAGCGGUGAAAUGCGCAGAUAUCGGGAGGAACACCGGUGGCGAAGGCGGUUCUCUGGGCCUUACCUGACGCUGAGGAGCGAAAGCGUGGGGAGCGAACAGG
rnacentral:rRNA from 1 species